rnacentral:rRNA from 1 species
UACGUAGGGGGCAAGCGUUGUCCGGAAUCAUUGGGCGUAAAGAGCGUGUAGGCGGUUCGGUAAGUCUGCUGUGAAAGUCCAGGGCUCAACCCUGGGAUGCCGGUGGAUACUGUCGGACUAGAGUACGGAAGAGGCGAGUGGAAUUCCCGGUGUAGCGGUGAAAUGCGCAGAUAUCAGGAGGAACACCGGUGGCGAAGGCGGGUCUCUGGGCCGAAACUGACGCUGAGGAGCGAAAGCUAGGGGAGCAAACGGG